rnacentral:rRNA from 1 species
AGAGUUUGAUCCUGGCUCAGAACGAACGCUGGCGGCGUGCUUUACACAUGCAAGUCGAACGGAAAGGCCCCUUCGGGGGGUACUCGAGUGGCGCACGGGUGAGUAACGCGUGGGUAAUCUGCCCUCAGUGACUGGGACAACUCCGGGAAACUGGAGCUAAUACCGGAUAAGACCACGAGCUCGUCAGAGCUUGCGGAAAAAGAUGGCCUCUUCUUGAAAGCUAUCGCCAGAGGAUGAGCCCGCGUCCCAUUAGCUUGUUGGUGAGGUAACGGCUCACCAAGGCGACGAUGGGUAGCUGGUCUGAGAGGAUGAUCAGCCACACUGGAACUGAGACACGGUCCAGACUCCUACGGGAGGCAGCAGUGGGGAAUUUUGGGCAAUGGGCGAAAGCCUGACCCAGCAACGCCGCGUGAGGGAUGAAGGCUUCGGGUCGUAAACCUCUGUCGGGAGGGAAGAACGUGAUCCAUCAAAUAGGUUGGAUGACUGACGGUACCUCCAAAGGAAGCACCGGCUGUCGUGCCAGCAGCCGCGGUAAUACGGAGGGUUGCAAGCGUUUGUUCGGAAUCAUUGGGCGUAAAGCGCGCGUAGGGCGUAUUGGUAAGUCGGGUGUGAAAUCCCGGGCUCAACCCCGGAACUGCACUCGAAACUGCCUCGCUAGAGUCUCGGAGAGGAAGGCGGAAUUCCCGGUGUAGAGGUGAAAUUCGUAGAUAUCGGGAGGAACACCAGUGUGGGCAAGCGGCCUUCUGGACGAUGACUGACGCUGAGGGGCGAAAGGGGGGAGCAAAAAGGAUAGAUACCCUGGUAGUCCACGCCGUAACGUUGAGUGCUAGGGGUCACGGGUAUUGACCCCUGCGUGCCGCCGCUAACGCAUUUAGCACUCCGCCUGGGGAGUACGGUCCGCAGCCUAAAAACUCAAAGGAAUUGGACGGGGGCCCGCACAAGCGGU